rnacentral:misc_RNA from 1 species
CGCAAUCUCAGCAACCUCUAAUUCUUCCAUUCUUCAAACAAACAGAGGCCUUUGGCUCAGGUUGCUAGCUGCAAGAGCUAAAGCAAAACGCAAAUCCCCAGAAGCCAUGGCUACCUUUUUUCGAGCUCUACCAAUAAUCUAUUCAGUACCAUCUUCAACUUCUAAUUCCCAAUCAAUCAAAAGAAGAAAUCUCAUAAUUAAUUGCGGCUCUUCAAUUGGUGCAAGAAAUUCAGCUAAAAUUCCUAUGCCCCCAACAAACCCUAAAGACCAUUUUCUCUCAAAGCUCGCUUCUGUCGCUGCCAAUUCGCCCGAAAAGCUUCUUGACCGACCGUUGAGUUCCGAUACGCUGCCGUAUCUUGGCCUAUUCGACUCUCCGCAGCUCAUCGCCACCUCCGCUCAUGUGGAAAGAUCAGUGUCGUACAAUGAGCACCGGCCGAGGAAGCCGCCACCGGACUUGCCUUCAUUGCUUCUCCAUGGGAGAAUAGUUUAUAUUGGCAUGCCUGUAAGUACUUUAUUUUGCCAUUUGGCUUUAGUGGUUCUUAAUUUUUUUUGCUGAUAUUGCUUUGCACACACGCACUUCUUAUGCUGACGAAAAUGCACUCUGUCAAUUCAUUUAGUUGCCGGGUACUUUUUAUAUAUCCUGAUUUGGUGAAGAAUUAGCCUUAUGAUUACAUCUAGUCAAAAGAUCUUAAUGUGCUUGACAAUGCCAUAAUAGCUGUGAUAAGGUCUUGAUGUCUGAUUUCUUCUCUGUUCUUGUUGUUAUUUGUUAUUCUUGCAAUUUGGCUUUACCUUUAGAAUUAUUAUCACCUAUGGCAAACUACUUCAUUUUGUUAUCUUUGUAGUCUGGAACAAUAUGUAUUUACUUGCUUUAAGGUAGAACCAAUUGUUAGUCCAAAUUUACAAGAAUUUUGAUACUAAGCAAUAUGGUUUAUGUGUUUUCGUAUUAACUUGUUUGAGCAAUCCAUUCAACAUGUUAACAUUUGUCUUAUAGUUUCAUUCAGUUGGUGCCUGCUGUCACAGAGCUUGUUGUUGCAGAAUUGAUGUACUUGCAGUGGAUGGAUCCCAAAGAACCAAUAUAUUUGUACAUAAAUUCCACGGGAACAACUCGUGAUGAUGGUGAAACAAAUCUGCAGGUUCAUGAACAUUCAACAUUUUGAAACCUCAAGCAAGCCACACGGCAAAUGCAAAUGAUGGCAUAUUUUCUUAUGACUGGGUGCCACCCUUCUGCUUGCUUGAAAGGUUGUAGCGCUGCAGAAGAUGUACCUUGUUGAGCCCUGAAUCUAGCCUCCAAAACACUUGUUUGAACUAUCCCUGAUGAUGUUGGCCUACACUUAACUUGGGGUGAACUUAAAUAUCUCAGUUUUUUAUUUUACAGUGUAAAUCCUUUGCGGACUAUGAAAGCCAUUGAUAUGUGUUAUUGGGAGAGUCAGCUGUUUGACAUGGUAACAGUUCGGUGUUGUGUAAAUAUUUCAAUUAGUAUUGAAACAUAUUAGAGCGAACCUAAUGAUGUAAUUUGCAUGUUGGCAUAUAUAUGAGUCUCCUUUGACUUAUUUAUUGAUUCUUUACAUAAUUAUGAAUUAAAAAUGUUACUUUUCA